rnacentral:rRNA from 1 species
CAAAAACACGUCUUUUUGAGUUAUUUUNAAANUNUAACCNNCCCNANGANNGAUUUUUAAUGGCCGCAGUAAUUUGACUGUGCAAAGGUAGCAUAAUAAUUAGUCUUUUAAUUGAAGGCUUGUAUGAAUGGUUGGACGAAGUAUAAUCUGUUUCAUUUAAAUUUAUUAUAGAAUUUUAUAUUUUAGUAAAAAAGCUAAAAUUUUUUUAAAAGACGAGAAGACCCUAUAAAUCUUUAUAAUUUAUAUAUAUAUAUAUAUUUUUUUGAUUUAUUUUAUUUUAAUAAUUUAAAUUAUUUUAUUGGGGUGAUAUUAAAAUUUAAUUAACUUUUAAUUUUUUUUUUUUUCAUUAAUUUAUGAAUUAUUGAUCCAUUAAUAAUGAUUAUAAGAAUAAGUUACUUUAGGGAUAACAGCGUAAUUUUUUUGGAGAGUUCUUAUUGAUAAAAAAGUUUGCGACCUCGAUGUUGGAUUAAGAUAUAAUUUUAGGUGUAGUUGCUAAAANAANAAGUCUGUNCNACUUUUAANUUCUUACNUGAUCNGANNNCANACCGNA